UUAUCAGUGAGGUAUAUCCUUACCUGUUGCUGUUUUGCAGCAGAAAUGAUGAAUGGUGAUAAUGAGUUGGUGAUUAACUUGCUCCCACCCUGAGAGGCUGACAACCCUGUCAGGACCAUUCUGAC